CACGCCCACCUGAACUCCGAGACAGCUCCACAUUUUGGUAAACUUAUUGUUCCGAACGAAGAUAAUAUCAUAUCUACGAUUAUACCGAAUUUCAAAUUUACAUACGGACGUUAAACUACAAGUCAAAAUGUUUAUGAAUCAAAUUUCAGUUUUUGAAUUCGACCAAAUUACAGCUUUUGGA